AUGAAGGAGAAAGGAAGUAGAGAGGAACAAAACAAAGCUAGACUUUACUAAAUGGCUGCAAACCAUUUGAACCCCAAACACAGCUCAACAGGACACUUGCCAAGGCAGAAUCCAAUGAGCAACAGGGAAAAGCAGGUCAUCUGGAGUGGAGUGAACACACACCAGCCCCUGAGCUGCCCCGUUCCAAGAGUCCGAGCUGCUGAAAUUAAACUCUGAUGCCAUUCCAGCAGCCAGCCAAUCCCCAGAGAGAUCAGAAGUUCAGAGAUGCCACCAAGUUCCCCAGAGCAAAUGUGGCUACUCUACGUCAAGAGCUGGAAAGAAGAUGUAGAGACAGGAGGAAAACAACAGCGCAGAGGAUGCCCAGCUGGCAUAUGUGUGUAUAUCAUCUCUCUUUCCCUGCUUGUCUACGCCCAAGAGAGCUGGAAGAAAUGAAUGUCGAACCCUCACCAUAUCCCACCUUACCGUGCUGUCCUGACCCUUUCAUCCAGCGGAGCCAUCAUUCAAUCCAUGGGAGGAUGCUGGGAGAUACACGAAGCUGCUGUUGUGACUCAUGAAUUGAGGGAGGAGAUUAGACAUACAAAAAGCAAUUCAGAGCCAGCAUGCCAUCCUCAUCGCAUUCUGCCCAGAUCCAUGGACGACCUCCUGGCACACUUCAUUGUCAAUAUUUUGGUAAAGUCCUCAUGGCAUAGUGGGAAGAAUGUUGUAUUUUUGUCUGAAGGACAAAGUUUGAGGACCCGAAUUCAAAUCUCACCUUUCACAAAUACUGGAUGUUUGUUUGAUCUUGAGCAAAGUCAUUCAACCUCUCUCAGCCUCAGAUUCCCCAUGUGCAAAAUGGGGAUAAUAAUAGUAUUGCUGUUAAGUAUCAUUGUAAGCUCCCCAUGAUCUAUAACCCUAUCGAUCUCUGAUUUAUUAUAAAGCAUCUGAAGUACUCCCAAACAAGGUUAUGUUCAUAUACCAAUAUUCUUCACUCAUUUUAAAAUAUAUUUAUCUAAAAUUCCUUUCCUCAAUCCUCUCACUUCUGCUGCUUUAACAUUUAUGAAUUGGGUUGCAAUUGAGAUUGUCCCUGCCCUCACAUUGGUGACUGAGAGAGACAAGAAAGCUGAAAAACUGACUCAUUGAAACUCCUAGAAAGAUAGCAUAGGAAGUUUUAGUCAGCCUUAGUCUACUUAUCUAUAAAAUGGGAAAACAAAUGUCCUUUAUAGGCUGUUGUGAGGAUCAGCUGAGUUGGUGAAUGUGAAGUUAUUUGCAAACUUUUCAGUGCUGUAUCAAGACAACUUUUUUUUCAUCUUUAUAAAAUUUUAUUGAUGACUUGUUUCUUAUUUAUCAGUUAUUUCCAAGUGUUCCUUCCCCAG